rnacentral:rRNA from 1 species
UAACAAGGAUUCCCCUAGUAACUGCGAGUGAAGCGGGAAAAGCUCAAAUUUAAAAUCUGGCGGUCUUUGGCCGUCCGAAUUGUAGUCUGGAGAAGUGUUUUCCGCGCUGGACCGUGUACAAGUCUCUUGGAAUAGAGCGUCAUAGAGGGUGAGAAUCCCGUCUUUGACACGGACUGCCAGUGCUUUGUGAUGCGCUCUCAAAGAGUCGAGUUGUUUGGGAAUGCAGCUCAAAAUGGGAGGUAAAUUCCUUCUAAAGCUAAAUAUUGGCGAGAGACCGAUAGCGAACAAGUACCGUGAGGGAAAGAUGAAAAGCACUUUGGAAAGAGAGUUAAACAGUACGUGAAAUUGCUAAAAGGGAAACGCUUGAAGUCAGUCGCGUCAUUCAGAACUCAGCCUGGCUUUUGCUUGGUGCAUUUUCUGUUUGACGGGCCAGCAUCAAUUUUGACCGUUGGAUAAAGGCUUUGGGAAUGUGGCAUCUUCGGAUGUGUUAUAGCCCUUGGUUGCAUACAACGGUUGGGAUUGAGGAUCACAGCAUGCCUUUAUGGUCGGGGUUCGCCCACGUUCAUGCUUAGGAUGCUGGCGU